AUUGAACGCUGGCGGCAGGCCUAACACAUGCAAGUCGAGCGAGCGGCGGACGGGUGAGUAAUGUCUGGGAACCUGCCUGAUGGAGGGGGCUAACUACUGGAAACGGUAGCUACUACCGCAUACCAUCAGAUGUGCCCAGAUGGGAUUAGCUAGUAGGUGGGGUAAUGGCUCACCUAGGCGACGAUCCCUAGCUGGUCUGAGAGGGUGAUCGGCAACACUGGGACUGAGACACGGCCCAGACUCCUACGGGAGGCAGCAGUGGGGAAUAUGGCACAAUGGGCGCAAGUCUGAUGCAGCAAUGCCGCGUGAGUGAAGAAGGCUUUCGGAUGGUAAAGCACUUUCAGCGGGGAAGCGUUACCCGCAGAAGAAGCCACGGCUAACUCCGUGCCAGCAGCCGCGGUAAUUC
rnacentral:rRNA from 1 species